UGGUCUGGUGAGAACUGGGGAAAAAUGAGAGAAGACUAGCUCUCAGGAGAGUCAGAGUGGGGGCUGGGAAAAAAAAGAGCCGCUGAAGGAAAUGUGGAGGAGAAUUUCCCACCGGUUUCCUUAGAGGAGGGGAAGCGGACUGGCCUCUUCCGGGGGGAGGAGGUUCAGGCCAGGAAGAGGCCAGAAGCAGACAGAGAACAGUGAGCCAUGGAUGGAAAGGAUGGAAAAUUCCAAGAGGAUCUCGGAGUUCUGUGUCUGCAACCUCUAGAUUUCCCUUGUGCUUCGAACAGCCUUUCCCUGUUCAUUUGACUUCAGGUAUCCACCCAUCGACGUGAAACUAAUCACGCUUCCUGUGUGUGGGUUGAAAAUGUGAUCAACUGGCUUCCUGCUCCAACCACUGUGCCUGCCUGCUACCAGGCCCUCCCCACCAUGACGAACUCUCCUCCUGGAACCUUAUGCCCGAAUAAACCCUUUCUUGCC